rnacentral:rRNA from 1 species
AGUGAACGCUGGCGGUAGGCCUACACAUGCAAGUCGAACGGCAGCACAGGAGAGCUUGCUCUCUGGGUGGCGAGUGGCGGACGGGUGAGGAAUACAUCGGAAUCUACUCUGUCGCGGGGGAUAACGUAGGGAAACUUACGCUAAUACCGCAUACGACCUACGGGUGAAAGCAGGGGAUCUUCGGACCUUGCGCGAUUGAAUGAGCCGAUGUCGGAUUAGCUAGUUGGCGGGGUAAAGGCCCACCAAGGCGACGAUCCGUAGCUGGUCUGAGAGGAUGAUCAGCCACACUGGAACUGAGACACGGUCCAGACUCCUACGGGAGGCAGCAGUGGGGAAUAUUGGACAAUGGGCGCAAGCCUGAUCCAGCCAUACCGCGUGGGUGAAGAAGGCCUUCGGGUUGUAAAGCCCUUUUGUUGGGAAAGAAAUCCAGCUGGCUAAUACCCGGUUGGGAUGACGGUACCCAAAGAAUAAGCACCGGCUAACUUCGUGCCAGCAGCCGCCGUAA